GAUGAACGCUAGCGGGAGGCCUAAUACAUGCAAGUCGAACGGUAACAGGAUAGCAAUAUCGCUGACGAGUGGCGCACGGGUGCGUAACACGUACACAAUCUGCCUUAUACUGGAGCAUACCCCCAAGAAAUUGGGACUAAUUCUCCAUAACAUAUUUGGAUGGCAUCAUUUGAAUAUUAAAACUCCGGUGGUAUAAGAUGAGUGUGCGUCCGAUUAGGUAGUUGGUGAGGUAACGGCUCACCAAGCCAACGAUCGGUAGCUGGUCUGAGAGGCCGAUCAGCCACACGGGCACUGAGACACGGGCCCGACUCCUACGGGAGGCAGCAGUAGGGAAUAUUGGACAAUGGGCGCAAGCCUGAUCCAGCCAUCCCGCGUGAAGGAUUAAGGCCCUCUGGGUUGUAAACUUCUUUUCUCUGGGAAUAAAAAGUGGGAUUCUUCCCGCCUUGAAGGUACCAGAGGAAUAAGCACCGGCUAACUCCGUGCCAGCCGCCGCGGUAAUAC
rnacentral:rRNA from 1 species